GGUUAAGCGACUAAGCGUACACGGUGGAUGCCCUGGCAGUCAGAGGCGAUGAAGGACGUGCUAAUCUGCGAAAAGCGUCGGUAAGGUGAUAUGAACCGUUAUAACCGGCGAUGUCCGAAUGGGGAAACCCAGUGCAAUUCGUUGCACUAUCGUUAACUGAAUACAUAGGUUAACGAGGCGAACCGGGGGAACUGAAACAUCUAAGUACCCCGAGGAAAAGAAAUCAACCGAGAUUCCCCCAGUAGCGGCGAGCGAACGGGGAGCAGCCCAGAGUCUGAAUCAGCUUGUGUGUUAGUGGAACGGUCUGGAAAGUCCGACGGUACAGGGUGAUAGUCCCGUACACCAAAAUGCACAGGUUGUGAACUCGAAGAGUAGGGCGGGACACGUGGUAUCCUGUCUGAAUAUGGGGGGACCAUCCUCCAAGGCUAAAUACUCCUGACUGACCGAUAGUGAACCAGUACCGUGAGGGAAAGGCGAAAAGAACCCCGGCGAGGGGAGUGAAAAAGAACCUGAAACCGUGUACGUACAAGCAGUGGGAGCACCUUCGGGUGUGACUGCGUACCUUUUGUAUAAUGGGUCAGCGACUUAUAUUCUGUAGCAAGGUUAACCGUAUAGGGGAGCCGCAGGGAAACCGAGUCUUAACUGGGCGUUAAGUUGCAGGGUAUAGACCCGAAACCCGGUGAUCUAGCCAUGGGCAGGUUGAAGGUUGGGUAACACUAACUGGAGGACCGAACCGACUAAUGUUGAAAAAUUAGCGGAUGACUUGUGGCUGGGGGUGAAAGGCCAAUCAAACCGGGAGAUAGCUGGUUCUCCCCGAAAGCUAUUUAGGUAGCGCCUCGUGAACUCAUCUUCGGGGGUAGAGCACUGUUUCGGCUAGGGGGUCAUCCCGACUUACCAACCCGAUGCAAACUACGAAUACCGAAGAAUGUUAUCACGGGAGACACACGGCGGGUGCUAACGUCCGUCGUGAAGAGGGAAACAACCCAGACCGCCAGCUAAGGUCCCAAAGUCAUGGUUAAGUGGGAAACGAUGUGGGAAGGCACAGACAGCCAGGAUGUUGGCUUAGAAGCAGCCAUCAUUUAAAGAAAGCGUAAUAGCUCACUGGUCGAGUCGGCCUGCGCGGAAGAUGUAACGGGGCUAAACCAUGCACCGAAGCUGCGGCAGCGACACUAUGUGUUGUUGGGUAGGGGAGCGUUCUGUAAGCCUGCGAAGGUGUGCUGUGAGGCAUGCUGGAGGUAUCAGAAGUGCGAAUGCUGACAUAAGUAACGAUAAAGCGGGUGAAAAGCCCGCUCGCCGGAAGACCAAGGGUUCCUGUCCAACGUUAAUCGGGGCAGGGUGAGUCGACCCCUAAGGCGAGGCCGAAAGGCGUAGUCGAUGGGAAACAGGUUAAUAUUCCUGUACUUGGUGUUACUGCGAAGGGGGGACGGAGAAGGCUAUGUUAGCCGGGCGACGGUUGUCCCGGUUUAAGCAUGUAGGCUGGUUAUCCAGGCAAAUCCGGAUAAUCAAGGCUGAGGUGUGAUGACGAGGCACUACGGUGCUGAAGUAACAAAUGCCCUGCUUCCAGGAAAAGCCUCUAAGCAUCAGGUAACAUCAAAUCGUACCCCAAACCGACACAGGUGGUCAGGUAGAGAAUACCAAGGCGCUUGAGAGAACUCGGGUGAAGGAACUAGGCAAAAUGGUGCCGUAACUUCGGGAGAAGGCACGCUGGUGUGUAGGUGAAGUCCCUGCGGAUGGAGCUGAGACCAGUCGAAGAUACCAGCUGGCUGCAACUGUUUAUUAAAAACACAGCACUGUGCAAACACGAAAGUGGACGUAUACGGUGUGACGCCUGCCCGGUGCCGGAAGGUUAAUUGAUGGGGUUAUCCGUAAGGAGAAGCUCUUGAUCGAAGCCCCGGUAAACGGCGGCCGUAACUAUAACGGUCCUAAGGUAGCGAAAUUCCUUGUCGGGUAAGUUCCGACCUGCACGAAUGGCGUAAUGAUGGCCAGGCUGUCUCCACCCGAGACUCAGUGAAAUUGAACUCGCUGUGAAGAUGCAGUGUACCCGCGGCAAGACGGAAAGACCCCGUGAACCUUUACUAUAGCUUGACACUGAACAUUGAGCCUUGAUGUGUAGGAUAGGUGGGAGGCUUUGAAGCGUGGACGCCAGUCUGCGUGGAGCCAACCUUGAAAUACCACCCUUUAAUGUUUG
rnacentral:rRNA from 1 species